AGAGUUGAUCCUGGCUCAGGACGAACGCUGGCGGCGGGUCUAACACAUGCAAGUCGAGGGACGAACCGGGUGCUUGCACCUGGGGAAACCGGCGAACGGGUGAGUAACACGUGAGGAACCUGCCCUGUACACCGGGAUAACCACGGGAAACCGUGGCUAAUACCGGAUGCUCCACCGUGAUCGCAUGAUCGUGGUGGGAAAGCUCAGGCGGUACAGGAGGGCCUCGCGGCGUAUCAGCUUGUUGGUGAGGUAACGGCUCACCAAGGCGACGACGCGUAGCUGGAGUGAGAGCUCGAACAGCCACACUGGGACUGAGACACGGCCCAGACUCCUACGGGAGGCAGCAGUGGAGAAUCUUGCGCAAUGGGCGAAAGCCUGACGCAGCCACGCCGCGUGCGGGAAGAAGGCCUUCGGGUCGUAAACCGCUUUCAGGAGGGAAGAAGCGAAAGUGACGGUACCUCCAGAAGAAGGUCCGGCUAACUACGUGCCAGCAGCCGCGGUAAUACGUAGGGACCGAGCGUUGUCCGGAUUCAUUGGGCGUAAAGCGCAUGUAGGCGGCCAUGUAAGUCGGUUGUGAAAUCCCGAGGCUCAACUUCGGAACUGCAGCCGAUACUGCAUGGCUUGAGGAGGGUAGAGGAGAGUGGAAUUCCCGGUGUAGCGGUGGAAUGCGCAGAUAUCGGGAGGAACACCUAUGGCGAAGGCAGCUCUCUGGGCCUCUCCUGACGCUGAGAUGCGAAAGCGUGGGUAGCGAACAGGAUUAGAUACCCUGGUAGUCCACGCCGUAAACGAUGGGUGCUAGAUGUGGGGGCCAGUUCACGGCUUCCGUGUCGAAGCUAACGCGUUAAGCACCCCGCCUGGGGACUACGGCCGCAAGGCUAAAACUCAAAGGAAUUGACGG
rnacentral:rRNA from 1 species